ACGAACGCUGGCGGCGUGCUUAACACAUGCAAGUCGAACGGAAAGGCCCUGCUUUUGUGGGGUGCUCGAGUGGCGAACGGGUGAGUAACACGUGAGUAACCUGCCCUUGACUUUGGGAUAACUUCAGGAAACUGGGGCUAAUACCGGAUAGGAGCUCCUGCUGCAUGGUGGGGGUUGGAAAGUUUCGGCGGUUGGGGAUGGACUCGCGGCUUAUCAGCUUGUUGGUGGGGUAGUGGCUUACCAAGGCUUUGACGGGUAGCCGGCCUGAGAGGGUGACCGGCCACAUUGGGACUGAGAUACGGCCCAGACUCCUACGGGAGGCAGCAGUGGGGAAUAUUGCACAAUGGGCGGAAGCCUGAUGCAGCAACGCCGCGUGCGGGAUGACGGCCUUCGGGUUGUAAACCGCUUUCGCCUGUGACGAAGCGUGAGUGACGGUAAUGGGUAAAGAAGCACCGGCUAACUACGG
rnacentral:rRNA from 1 species